CACGUAGGGCGCAAGCGUGUCCGGAAUUAUUGGGCGUAAAAGAGCUCGUAGGUGGUUUGUUACGUCUGCUGUGAAAACCUAGGGCUUAACCCUGGGCUUCAGUGGAUACGGGCAGACUAAAGGUAGGUAGGGGAGAAUGGAAUUCCUGGUGUAGCGGUGAAAUGCGCAGAUAUCAGGAGGAACACCGGUGGCGAAGGCGGUUCUCUGGGCCUUACCUGACACUGAGGAGCGAAAGCUGGGGAGCGAA
rnacentral:rRNA from 1 species